UCUAUGGAUGAUGUUCGAUAUUACCUUCAUCACUCAGUGGAUACAGUGGAUGUGGAUACCAUGCUUGGUUCUCGUUGCAAAAUGUAAAGUGGUGAUCAAUUCCCAACAAUGUUCAUGCCGGAAUUUUGUUAGCAUGAAUCAGACGUCAUGAACCGAAUUUUACUGUCUCUGGACAUCGGCUUCCAUGGUGGUGAAUAGGCCACGUUUGCUUCCAUCAACUAGCAUGAAAAACCUAUCUGGAGAGGUUGGAGAAGGGUAAUCGGUUCAAUAGAAUAACCGCAGCCUAAUAGUAGGAGGUAAUCUCUGCAAAGCCAUCCCAUCGUUGAUGAUCGACCUCUUCCUAGCAUGGAUGCCAGAUUUGGUUUCAAAACGCUCGAUGCUCCUCUGGCAUGACUCGUAGUCGUUUCAUCGUUCUACGAAUUCGUCUAGUUUAGCCAAGCAACAGUUCUGCGAUUCUCAUUGAAGGUACAUUUCAAGCUGUUGGCGGUUAGGAGGAGUCUCAGGUUCAAUACGCGUCACGUUUUGUCACUGUUUUAUUCAAGUCGCUAUGUUUUGUUCGGAUGGAUUCCUGGAUAGGCUUACUCUUCGUAAGCUCCGAUACACGCAGUUCAAGUUCAGUUAAGUUUUCUAAUAGUUGCUAGGGCACAUUCUUUAUACUAGUGGCUUAUAUUUUAUGAGUUACAUUAAUUGAAUUAAGACUAAACAUUUUCUAAUAGUCGCUACGGCACAUUCUUUAUACUAGUGGCUUAUAUUUUAUGAGGUAAAUU